rnacentral:rRNA from 1 species
AUCCUACGGGACGCAGCAGUGGGGGAUAUUGCACAAUGGGGGAAACCCUGAUGCAGCGACGCCGCGUGGGUGAAGAAGCGCCUCGGCGCGUAAAGCCCUGUCAGCAGGGAAGAAAAUGACGGUACCUGAAGAAGAAGCCCCGGCUAACUACGUGCCAGCAGCCGCGGUAAUACGUAGGGGGCAAGCGUUAUCCGGAUUUACUGGGUGUAAAGGGUGCGCAGGCGGCUCUGCAAGUCAGGCGUGAAAGCUAGGGGCUCAACCCCUAAACUGCGCUUGAAACUGUGGAGCUUGAGUGAGGUAGAGGG